rnacentral:rRNA from 1 species
GAUGAACGCUGGCGGCGUGCCUAAUACAUGCAAGUCGAGCGAACGGACGAGAAGCUUGCUUCUCUGAUGUUAGCGGCGGACGGGUGAGUAACACGUGGAUAACCUACCUAUAAGACUGGGAUAACUUCGGGAAACCGGGGCUAAUACCGGAUAAUAUUUUGAACCGCAUGGUUCAAAAGUGAAAGACGGUCUUGCUGUCACUUAUAGAUGGAUCCGCGCUGCAUUAGCUAGUUGGUAAGGUAACGGCUUACCAAGGCAACGAUGCAUAGCCGACCUGAGAGGGUGAUCGGCCACACUGGAACUGAGACACGGUCCAGACUCCUACGGGAGGCAGCAGUAGGGAAUCUUCCGCAAUGGGCGAAAGCCUGACGGAGCAACGCCGCGUGAGUGAUGAAGGUCUUCGGAUCGUAAAACUCUGUUAUUAGGGAAGAACAUAUGUGUAAGUAACUGUGCACAUCUUGACGGUACCUAAUCAGAAAGCCACGGCUAACUACGUGCCAGCAGCCGCGGUAAUACGUAGGUGGCAAGCGUUAUCCGGAAUUAUUGGGCGUAAAGCGCGCGUAGGCGGUUUUUUAAGUCUGAUGUGAAAGCCCGCGGCUCAACCGUGGAGGGUCAUUGGAAACUGGAAAACUUGAGUGCAGAAGAGGAAAGUGGAAUUCCAUGUGUAGCGGUGAAAUGCGCAGAGAUAUGGAGGAACACCAGUGGCGAAGGCGACUUUCUGGUCUGUAACUGACGCUGAUGUGCGAAAGCGUGGGGAUCAAACAGGAUUAGAUACCCUGGUAGUCCACGCCGUAAACGAUGAGUGCUAAGUGUUAGGGGGUUUCCGCCCCUUAGUGCUGCAGCUAACGCAUUAAGCACUCCGCCUGGGGAGUACGACCGCAAGGUUGAAACUCAAAGGAAUUGACGGGGACCCGCACAAGCGGUGGAGCAUGUGGUUUAAUUCGAAGCAACGCGAAGAACCUUACCAAAUCUUGACAUCCUUUGACAACUCUAGAGAUAGAGCCUUCCCCUUCGGGGGACAAAGUGACAGGUGGUGCAUGGUUGUCGUCAGCUCGUGUCGUGAGAUGUUGGGUUAAGUCCCGCAACGAGCGCAACCCUUAAGCUUAGUUGCCAUCAUUAAGUUGGGCACUCUAAGUUGACUGCCGGUGACAAACCGGAGGAAGGUGGGGAUGACGUCAAAUCAUCAUGCCCCUUAUGAUUUGGGCUACACACGUGCUACAAUGGACAAUACAAAGGGCAGCGAAACCGCGAGGUCAAGCAAAUCCCAUAAAGUUGUUCUCAGUUCGGAUUGUAGUCUGCAACUCGACUACAUGAAGCUGGAAUCGCUAGUAAUCGUAGAUCAGCAUGCUACGGUGAAUACGUUCCCGGGUCU